ACUAUUACAAGUAUAAUUUGGCCUUUACCAAUUUAUUUAAUAAAAGAAAGAAUCUAUCAUCUCUAAAUUGUGGUAAAGAGGCACAACAAGCUGUCUUCUUUGUCCAAUAUUAUGUCAGUCAGGAUGGUAAUGGUAAAACUCAAGGAUUACCUUGCACCUUCUCAGAAAUUUACCAUUGAUCAUAUGUAUUACAAGUGGCUGGAUUGUUUUUAACACAAGCAACGUUUUUUAAAUCAUUAUCUUAAACAGAUUAAGGCUCAUUUUGGACUACACUUACAUUACUUUACAACUGCUUAAUGCAGUACUGAUGCAUCUAGUAGUUAGUGGGUUUAACUAAUGUCACAUCUGUUUUUAUUCAUUUUAGAUGCAGAAACUUUUGACAUAUGAAUUCAUCUUGACUAAGGAACUCUUCACAGCACUUCAUCUGAACAGUCACAACCUCACAGAGCUGCUCAACUGCCCCUCUCAGAUCAGUGUUGAAGCUGGAACCUCAUCUUGUGUACAGCAAAGGCAGAGCUGAAAAUUCACUGUUUGUCUUGUAUUGUGUGUGGCAAAACCUGGAAUAACACAUGGGAGCCCUCCAGGAAUUGCUGACACUUUACGCCCAAGUCUCCUCAUGCUAACCGGAUUGCAAUAUGACAGUCUAGUCAGCAUAAACACCUGGACUCGCCAAGCACACUUUGGUUCUUAGUGUUUUGUACAAAUUGUUUUUGCUAUUCUUCAGUAAAUACUUGAAUAUGUUUUGAACUUAUUCUACUUUUGAUGUUUAAGUUCAGAAAGUUGUUAUUAUAAACAUAAUUUGCAUUGGUCAUGAACUUGACUUCUUGUUGUUGUGAAAGCUGUUUAUUAUAAUGGCAUUUCCAAAGGCAUUAUUUGAAAAGAUUUUUUGCAGUGCAGUUUUACUUGAGCUUGACAUACCAGAUGUAUGACAUGAAUAAAUAUCACAAAAUAAAUAUAAUAAUGAUAAUAC